CCCAUUCUUCCCCGACCUUUUCCUACUUCUAUCUUCCCUCUUUCUCUAUUACAAAGCAUUAUAAAAAAUGGAAGACACCUUGUAUUGUCAUUGCGGUAAAAGGGCAGAAUUGAUAAUUUCGUGGUCACAAAAUAACCCGGGUCACAGGUAUCUUGGAUGCCAAUAUGGUCGAGAUGUAAGUAUUUUAAGUGGUUUGAAGAUGAAUUUCCUGAACAAGCUAGGAUUGUAAUUUAGGAAUUUUUGAAGAGGAUA